rnacentral:rRNA from 1 species
UACGAAGGGGGCUAGCGUUGCUCGGAAUCACUGGGCGUAAAGAGCGUGUAGGCGGUCCGGUAAGUCCGCUGUGAAAGUCGGGGGCUCAACCCUCGAAUGCCGGUGGAUACUGUCGGGCUAGAGUGCGGAAGAGGCGAGUGGAAUUCCUGGUGUAGCGGUGAAAUGCGCAGAUAUCAGGAGGAACACCUAUUGCGAAGGCAGCUCGCUGGGACGUAACUGACGCUGAGACGCGAAAGCGUGGGGAGCAAACAGG